UCCGAAUUGGUGUAGUGGCUAACAUUUGACGCUCUCAUACGUCGUCAUACUUAGACGUCAAUGGUACCGUCAAGCCCGGGGUUCGAUUCCCCGAUUCGGAG